rnacentral:precursor_RNA from 15 species
CUAUUAUUUUCACAUCAGUGAAUGCUUUGUAGGGGGUACUGUAAGUACGUACGAUUUUUUUAACGUAGUACGAACGGUACUCACUAUGAACGUUACACAGUUUUCAAUGCCAUAACU